rnacentral:rRNA from 1 species
UUUGAUCCUGGCUCAGAUUGAACGCUGGCGGCAUGCUUUACACAUGCAAGUCGAACGGUAACAGGGAGCUUGCUCCGCUGACGAGUGGCGAACGGGUGAGUAAUAUAUCGGAACGUACCCAAGAGUGGGGGAUAACGUAGCGAAAGUUACGCUAAUACCGCAUACGAUCCAAGGAUGAAAGCAGGGGAUCUUCGGACCUUGUGCUCCUGGAGCGGCCGAUAUCUGAUUAGCUAGUUGGUGAGGUAAUGGCUCACCAAGGCGACGAUCAGUAGCUGGUCUGAGAGGACGACCAGCCACACUGGAACUGAGACACGGUCCAGACUCCUACGGGAGGCAGCAGUGGGGAAUUUUGGACAAUGGGCGCAAGCCUGAUCCAGCAAUGCCGCGUGAGUGAAGAAGGCCUUCGGGUUGUAAAGCUCUUUUGUCAGGGAAGAAACGGGAGUGGCUAAUAUCCAUUCCUAAUGACGGUACCUGAAGAAUAAGCACCGGCUAACUACGUGCCAGCAGCCGCGGUAAUACGUAGGGUGCAAGCGUUAAUCGGAAUUACUGGGCGUAAAGCGUGCGCAGGCGGUUUUGUAAGUCUGACGUGAAWUCCCCGGGCUCAACCUGGGAAUUGCGUUGGAGACUGCAAGGCUAGAAUCUGGCAGAGGGGGGUAGAAUUCCACGUGUAGCAGUGAAAUGCGUAGAGAUGUGGAGGAACACCGAUGGCGAAGGCAGCCCCCUGGGUCAAGAUUGACGCUCAUGCACGAAAGCGUGGGGAGCAAACAGGAUUAGAUACCCUGGUAGUCCACGCCCUAAACGAUGUCUACUAGUUGUCGGGUUUUAAUUAACUUGGUAACGCAGCUAACGCGUGAAGUAGACCGCCUGGGGAGUACGGUCGCAAGAUUAAAACUCAAAGGAAUUGACGGGGACCCGCACAAGCGGUGGAUGAUGU